GAAAAUACAAUGACGAGAAGAGUAAGAUGUGAAAUGUUACAGAGAAGGAUAUGAAGUGCUGAGAAUAUCCUAUCAGGAAGCGUCCGAAGACUACCUCCGAGUGGCUCCAAUCCAGCCCGGCCGAUACCGUUAUCAUCAAAUGAAGUGGGAAUUUACAAUCCAAUGAGGGUGGAACCGCGAGAUAUAUGCUCGUCCCUUUC
rfam:Anaerocolumna xylanovorans DSM 12503 genome assembly, contig: EJ36DRAFT_scaffold00003.3